AAAAACAUCAAAUCAAAAGCCAUGGUAUAGACACAAAGGGUCUGUAGGGUAAAAAGAGAAGAAGAAAUAUAUAUAAAUAAAAUUAAAUUUAAGUUUGAGUAAAAACUAGUUUUGACUGGCAUUUCCCUGAUGAGUAAGGAUGCUGAACGUUUCUCUAGUGCUUCUGUGUAUAUGUUUGUCUUAUCAGUUGUUGAAUAAAACACUGAUUGGCCAGGCAAGAUGAUAGGUAGGACUAGGAGACAAGGAGGAUUCUGGGAAAUGUAGGCAGAGAGGAGUCGUCACGUUGAUCCCAAGAAGUGAUGUAGCUGGGCAGAAACUGCCACUAGCUAACCAUAGAGGUCUGGAGGUCUGUAUAGACAGGCAGGAAGUGACGUAGCUGGUCAGGUCACCCUGAUAUAAUCAGGGACAAAUAGGAAAUCACUCUCUUCUCUGCAGACUUGCUGAGAAGUCGACAUGUAGAAUGGCAGAGGAGUAACAGGUCCCUGAAUCUUUCUCUGGAAAGAGAAGACCACGUGGGAAUACUUGGAUUAAUAAUGAUGGGUCUCAUCACCUCGGAAAGAUGCUGCAGGCUGUAACCACACGUGGAGAUCAGACACAUUACAGCUCUCCAUAGCAAGGCGUUCACAUGCAGAUUUUAGAGGAGCACAGUAUCUACUCCGUUUCGGAAAGAGAGCAUCAACUUCCUCCACUCCACACACUUUGCUCAAAGGACAUACUCAUAGGUAAGAUUCUGACCAGUGAGAUAUGCCCCUUGUCACCAUGGUUACACAGCAAGCAGCAUCAACGGGAAGGAGGGACCGACCUCAGACAUCUGCUAUCUAGGCCUGCCUGCCAUCUAUGCUUAAACAUUACCAGGAUCCAAAAGUUUUGUAUUCGGAGCAAUUAGGAUGUUGUGCUGGCUAAUCUUAUGUCAACUUGACACCAGCUGGAGUCAUCUGAGAGGGGGAACCCCAACUGAGAAAAUGUGGUAGAUCAGGCUGUAGACAAGCCUGUAGAGCAUUUUCUGAAUUAGUGAUUGAUGUGGGAAGACCCAGCCCACUGUGGGUGGGGCCAUCUCUGGAUUGUUGGUUCUGGGUUCUCUAAGAAAGCAGGCUGAGCAAGCCAUGAGGAGCAAGCCAGUAAGCAGCUCCCCUCCAUGGCCUCUGCAUCAGCUCCUGCCUCCAGGUUCCUGCCCUGUUUGAGUUCCUGUCCUGACUUCCUUCAAUAACAGACUACAGUGUGGAAG
rnacentral:lncRNA from 1 species